rnacentral:rRNA from 1 species
GAUGAACGCUGACAGAAUGCUUAACACAUGCAAGUCAACUGUGGCGGACGGGUGAGUAACGCGUAAAGAACUUGCCUCACGGAUAGGGACAACAUUUGGAAACGAAUGCUAAUACCUGAAACUGUGAGAGAGUUUGGCGUCCCAUUAGCUAGUUGGAGAGGUAACGGCGCACCAAGGCGAUGAUGGGUAGCCGGCCUGAGAGGGUGAUAGGCCACAAGGGGACUGGGAAGCGGCCCUUACUCCUACGGGAGGCAGCAGUGGGGAAUAUUGGACGAUGGACCAAAGUCUGAUCCAGCAAUUCUGUGUGCACGAUGAAGUUUUCGGGAUGUAAAGUGCUUUCAGUUGGGAAGCGGUACCAACAGAAGAAGUGACGGCUAAAUACGUGCCAGCAGCCGCGGUAAUUC